AUUGAACGCUGGCGGCAUGUCUUACACAUGCAAGUCGAACGGCAGCGCGUCCUUCGGGAUGGCGGCGAGUGGCGAACGGGUGAGUAAAGCAUCGGAACGUGCCCGGUAGUGCGGGAUAGCUCGGCGAAAGCCGGAUUAAUACCGCAUGAGAUCCGAGGAUGAAAGCAGGGGACCCGCAAGGGCCUUGCGCUACUGGAGCGGCCGAUGUCAGAUUAGGUAGUUGGUGAGGUAAAGGCUCACCAAGCCUGCGAUCUGUAGCUGGUCUGAGAGGAUGAUCAGCCACAUCGGGACUGAGACACGGCCCGAACUCCUACGGGAGGCAGCAGUGGGGAAUUUUGGACAAUGGGCGCAAGCCUGAUCCAGCCAUGCCGCGUGAGUGAAGAAGGCCCUCGGGUUGUAAAGCUCUUUUGUCCGGAAAGAAAAGCGCCGGGUUAAUACCCUGGUGUCCUGACGGUACCGGAAGAAUAAGCACCGGCUAACUUCGUG
rnacentral:rRNA from 1 species